rnacentral:rRNA from 1 species
GGCUAUAUUAGUCAGCCUGCCCAUGAAAUUUUUAAUGGCCGCAGUAAUUUGACUGUGCAAAGGUAGCAUAAUCAUUAGUUUUUUAAUUAAAAGCUUGUAUGAAAGGUUGGACGAAGUAAAAUCUGUCUCUAUUUAAUUUAAAUUAGAAUUUAAUUUUUAAGUUAAAAAGCUUAAAUUUUAAUAAAAGACGAGAAGACCCUGUAGAACUUUAUAAUUUAUUUAUUAUAAUUAAUUAAGAUUUUUUUAAGUUUUAUUAAUAAAAUUAUUUUAUUGGGGUAAUAAGAAGAUUAAAAUAAUUCUUUUUUAUUAUUAACAUUUAUUUAUGGUAUUAAUGAUCCAUUUUUAGUGAUUAUAAGAUUAAGUUACCUUAGGGAUAACAGCGUAAUUUUUUUAGAGAGUUCAUAUCGAUAAAAAAGUUUGCGACCUCGAUGUUGGAUUAAAGAUUAGUUUAGGUGUAGAAGUUUAAAUUUUUGGUCUGUUCGACCAUUAAAUCUUUACGUGAUCUGAGUUCAGACCGGA